rnacentral:rRNA from 1 species
CCAGACUCCUACGGGAGGCAGCAGUGAGGAAUAUUGGUCAAUGGUCGGGAGACUGAACCAGCCAAGCCGCGUGAGGGAUGAAGGUACAGAGUAUCGCAAACCUCUUUUGUCAGGGAACAAAGGCGGGGACGUGUCCCCGGAUGAGUGUACCUGAAGAAAAAGCAUCGGCUAACUCCGUGCCAGCAGCCGCGGUAAUACGGAGGAUGCGAGCGUUAUCCGGAUUUAUUGGGUUUAAAGGGGGCGCAGGCGGUGUGGUAGGUCAGGGGACACAGCCCGGGGCCCCCCCCCGGCCCGCCGUUGAAACUGGCAGUCUCGAGUUGGAGAGAAGUAUGCGGAAUGCGCGGUGUAGCGGUGAAAUGCAUAGAUAUCGCGCAGAACUCCGAUUGCGAAGGCAGCAUGCCGGCUCCACACUGACGCUGAGGCACGAAAGCGUGGGUAUCGAACAGGAUUAGAUACCCCCGUAU